rnacentral:rRNA from 1 species
UACGGAGGGUGCGAACGUUAAUCGGAAUCACUGGGCGUAAAGCGCGCGUAGGCGGUUUGUUAAGUGGGAUGUGAAAGCCCCGGGCUUAACCUGGGAAUUGCAUUUCAAACUGGCGAACUAGAGUGCGGUAGAGGGAGGUAGAAUUUCCUGUGUAGCGGUGAAAUGCGCAGAUAUCAGGAGGAACACCGGUGGCGAAGGCGGGUCUCUGGGCCGUAACUGACGCUGGAGGAGCGAAAGCGUGGGGAGCGAACAGG